GACGAACGCUGGCGGCGUGCUUAACACAUGCAAGUCGAACGGUAAGGCCCUUCGGGGUACACGAGUGGCGAACGGGUGAGUAACACGUGGGUGAUCUGCCCUGCACUUCGGGAUAAGCCUGGGAAACUGGGUCUAAUACCGGAUAGGACCACUGCCUGCAUGGGUGGUGGUGGAAAGCUUUUGCGGUGUGGGAUGGGCCCGCGGCCUAUCAGCUUGGUGGUGGGGUGAUGGCCUACCAAGGCGACGACGGGUAGCCGGCCUGGGAGGGUGACCGGCCACACGGGGACUGAGAUACGGCCCAGACUCCUACGGGAGGCAGCAGUGGGGAAUAUUGCACAAUGGGCGCAAGCCUGAUGCAGCGACGCCGCGUGAGGGAUGACGGCCUUCGGGUUGUAAACCUCUUUCAGCACCGACGAAGCGCAAGUGACGGUAGGUGCAGAAGAAGGACCGGCCAACUACGUGCCAGCCGCCGCCGUAA
rnacentral:rRNA from 1 species